CUAUCCUUCUCCCUAUUCAUCAUUCACGUAUAUUGCUCUCUCUCACCCUCUCUUCUCUUCCUUUUUCGCCGCCUCCUACAGAGUUUUCUCUCUGUGAGCUGUACUCUAUAUUCCCCUAGGAUUAGUACUUUCUCCGGGAUUUCGGCCUAUCUCUUUUUCUCUGCCUCAUCUAGCCUUUCCUCUUCCUCUCUCUCCCUCUCACCGAACCCUAACUUCACCUAGGGUUAGUACUCCCUCCGACGCAUUUAAUGCCACCGGAACGUCCCUUUUUCGGAGAUGGUUCCCUCUCUGAACUGUACACCUCUAUUCGCUGGCGAAUCCCCCUCUCCCCGAAACUCCAUUCCUCUUCCCUGUAUCCGGCCACCGUACACCUGUAUCCACCAAA
rnacentral:lncRNA from 1 species